UGGCACGCCCGAAGUCGUUACUCCAACCGUCAAAGGAGGAGGAUGCCUAAGGUAGGACUGAUGACUGGGGUGAAGUCGUAACAAGGUAGCCGUACCGGAAGGUGUGGCUGGAUCACCUCCUUUUCAGGGAGACCGAGCCCAUCUUGUACCGAAACGCAACCAGAACUAGGUAGAGAUGAGGCCAUCCCAGGUCGAACGCAGCACCAAAGAGUGUGAGGUCAGCUUUCAAACUAUAAACCGGUUCGGCGAUCGCGCCAAGGUUAGGGGCUAUUAGCUCAGGUGGUUAG
rnacentral:misc_RNA from 1 species